CAUGCAGAGUUCUCUCCAUGAAAGUUUAGGUAAAGCUGGGAAGAUCAAGGUUUGGUUUCAAUAUCUUGGCUAUUUCAGAGCAUGGGGAAAGCUGCUCAGCAGCUGCUGUGAAUGACAGGGAUAUGCAAGAGCCUGGGGGCUGGUAAUGCUUCCAGUGGGUGAGACAGUGAAGUUGGGAUUUCAGCACAACUCCUUUGAUGCCUGUUCAGUGCAGCUGUGAGGAUGACAGAUGUGCUAAAAUAGACUUGGCACCCCUGAAAAAUCUCACCCUGCUGCAUGGAAGAAGGCAAGAAAAGAGGGUAUACAUGCCAACUUCCCAAGGAAGUGCACAGGAGCUGCAGAGUUUCCAUCACCCACCUUAAUUUCUGGAGCUGAGCUUUUUGUAUCAAACUGACCUCUACAGAGGAACUGUUCUCUUUAAUUGGGUGUCAAUAUGAGGAUUUGGCCUGGCUCAUACCUAGUUCACUCUCAGCCUUAUCAGGGCAACUUUUGCAUCAUGUCUUGUGUUUUUAGCCUUCUAAGUACUGUUGGUGAAGAAAGAACUCAAACAGGACAUACCAGUUUAAUUUAGACUGUUGCAAUCUCCUAAUACAAAGGCACUCAACUUCUUAAGACUGCUCAGUUUCUGUAAUUUGGGUGCUAUUCAGCUUGCAACUGUAGAAAUGUAGCUUUCAUCAACAUUUGAAA